GCGGUAAUACCAGCUCUCCGAGUGGUGGGGACGAUUAUUGGGCUUAAAGCGUUCGUAGCCGGCUUAACAAGUCUUCCGUUAAAUCCAACGAUCUAAUCGUUGGUCUGCGGGAGAUACUGUUGGGCUAGGAGGCGGGAGAAGCCGACGGUAUUCUCGGGGUAGGGGUGAAAUCCUAUAAUCCCGG
rnacentral:rRNA from 1 species